rnacentral:rRNA from 1 species
UACGUAGGGGGCGAGCGUUGUCCGGAGUUACUGGGCGUAAAGCGUGCGCAGGCGGUUGUGCAAGACAGAUGUGAAAUCCCCGGGCUUAACCUGGGAACUGCAUUUGUGACUGCACGGCUAGAGUGUGUCAGAGGGGGGUAGAAUUCCACGUGUAGCAGUGAAAUGCGUAGAUAUGUGGAGGAAUACCGAUGGCGAAGGCAGCCCCCUGGGAUAACACUGACGCUCAUGCACGAAAGCGUGGGGAGCAAACAGG